UACGAAGGGGGCUAGCGUUGCUCGGAAUCACUGGGCGUAAAGCGCACGUAGGCGGGCCGUUAAGUCAGGGGUGAAAUCCCGGAGCUCAACUCCGGAACUGCCUUUGAUACUGGCGAUCUUGAGUUCGAGAGAGGUGAGUGGAACUGCGAGUGUAGAGGUGAAAUUCGUAGAUAUUCGCAAGAACACCAGUGGCGAAGGCGGCUCACUGGCUCGAUACUGACGCUGAGGUGCGAAAGCGUGGGGAGCAAACAGG
rnacentral:rRNA from 1 species